rnacentral:lncRNA from 1 species
ACCACCACUAUCAUCAUCAUCAUCAAAGAUAAAACCCGAAAGCAUGGCUGUGAUCAAAGAUGGCAGCAGCUGCAGGCACCUGACAAGGGACUUAAGAGCAGUUGCAAGGUGCCUGAAAGACCCAUAGAUGCUCUAAGGGGAGACUUGGCAGUGGUGUAGGAGUCUGCAGAGCCCACAAUAUCCCUGGAACAACUUAGGAAAUACACAUUUCCUACGGGGGAAAAGUGUCUUUAAAAUGUAGACUCCUGAAAUUGGAGGAAAAUAUGGAGGAACAGAGCUGUGAGUCGGGGGAAGUGUCGAAACUACAGACAAGGCAAUAACGCGUUUGGGGAGUGAUAUGGGAGCACAACCGCAGUGAACAAAGAACAUGGCAUUAAUGGAUAGAGCCGGUUCUCAGCCCAUGGGCUGGUCCACAGAAUGGAUCUGCCGCUGUUGCUCGCCAUUCUUGGAGAAGCAGAGUGUGGGACAACAGCUCCACUGCAGGCUGCAAGCACAAAGGUAACGCCAGAUGGUUGUUUUCUGUCACCUAUAAACAUCUGAGAACAUCUCCCUUCUCCACAGUUUCUAUAACUGGUGAAAUUGUUUU